rnacentral:rRNA from 1 species
GAUGAACGCUGGCGGCGUGCCUAAUACAUGCAAGUCGAGCGAACGGACGAGAAGCUUGCUUCUCUGAUGUUAGCGGCGGACGGGUGAGUAACACGUGGAUAACCUACCUAUAAGACUGGGAUAACUUCGGGAAACCGGAGCUAAUACCGGAUAAUAUUUUGAACCGCAUGGUUCAAAAGUGAAAGACGGUCUUGCUGUCACUUAUAGAUGGAUCCGCGCUGCAUUAGCUAGUUGGUAAGGUAACGGCUUACCAAGGCAACGAUGCAUAGCCGACCUGAGAGGGUGAUCGGCCACACUGGAACUGAGACACGGUCCAGACUCCUACGGGAGGCAGGAGUAGGGAAUCUUCCGCAAUGGGCGAAAGCCUGACGGAGCAACGCCGCGUGAGUGAUGAAGGUCUUCGGAUCGUAAAACUCUGUUAUUAGGGAAGAACAUAUGUGUAAGUAACUGUGCACAUCUUGACGGUACCUAAUCAGAAGGCCACGGCUAACUACGUG